ensembl:miRNA
CACUCUGGGGACUGGGGAUGAGGAGGCAUCUUGCGAAGUGGAAGGAAUGGGAUCUACUUCCAGUUCACUAGAGGCAUCUUGACACCCCCAGCUCAGCACUUUUGUCUGUGA